GAUGAAGAACGUAGCGAAAUGCGAUAAGUAAUGUGAAUUGCAGAAUUCAGUGAAUCAUCGAGUCUUUGAACGCACAUUGCGCCCCCUGGUAUUCCGGGGGGCAUGCCUGUCCGAGCGUCAUUGCCGCCCUCAAGCACGGCUUGUGUGUUGGGCCCCCGCCCCCCGGCUUCGGGGGGCGGGCCCGAAAGGCAGCGGCGGCACCGCGUCCGGUCCUCGAGCGUAUGGGGCUUCGUCACCCGCUCUGUAGGCCCGGCCGGCGCCCGCCGGCGACCCCAAUCAAUCUUUUCAGGUUGACCUCGGAUCAGGUAGGGAUACCCGCUGAACUUAAGCAUAUCAAUAAGCGGAGGA
rnacentral:misc_RNA from 1 species